rnacentral:tRNA from 1 species
UGCCUUGUGGUGUAAUUGGCAACACGUCUGACUCUGGAUCAGAAGAGUCCAGGUUCGAGCCCUGGCAAGGCAG